GACAAGCAACGACCAGCCACGACAAGCGGAAUAACCUUCCGCUUAUGGCCGCGCACUAUGGUGGCGCCCUCGACGACGUUCACGCGUGCUGCGAAAUGAGUAGGGUAGGGGGUGGGAAAACCCAUCGUCGUCUGGCAGAUCCAACAACUACACGUACACUAUUAAACUUGACAUUCUUUAGAUAAUCGCUAUAUAAGAAGAAACGCUGACACCGGAAACGCAACGUUCGAAAAGCUACAAUAAAUGUUUCGCCAAUUGGUCCAUUGUUCCCGAUGGCAAUACAUGGAAAUAUUUCUAUUCGGUUAAACACUAGGAAAUAUAAUCAAGAGGGAAAACAAGAGGACAAACAGCGGGAUGUCCAUGGAAUGUUUAUGCUGAACUGAAGAGAUUCAUGGAAGCACAAUCAGAUUGCGGUAUCAUAUUCUACGAUCUAGUAUCCAGAAUCUAGAAGAUGGGAAAAGUAUCGAGAUUCUAUCUCUUUAUGAAGACGACCAAACGAUAACCUUUUUGUAAUAAAACAUAGCAUUUAUAACUGUAA